GCACUGCCGAUGAGUCCCGCAAUAGGACGAAACGGCCGUCCAGUGC
rfam:Schistosoma mattheei strain Denwood, Zambia genome assembly, scaffold: SMTD_contig0017756